rnacentral:rRNA from 1 species
AACGAACGCUGGCGGCAGGCCUAACACAUGCAAGUCGAACGCCCUAGCAAUAGGGAGUGGCAGACGGGUGAGUAACACGUGGGAACCUUCCCUAUAGUACGGAAUAGCCCAGGGAAACUUGGAGUAAUACCGUAUACGCCCGAGAGGGGAAAGAUUUACCGCUAUAGGAUGGGCCCGCGUCGGAUUAGCUAGUUGGUGAGGUAAUGGCUCACCAAGGCGACGAUCCGUAGCUGGUUUGAGAGAAUGACCAGCCACACUGGGACUGAGACACGGCCCAGACUCCUACGGGAGGCAGCAGUGGGGAAUCUUGGACAAUGGGCGCAAGCCUGAUCCAGCCAUGCCGCGUGAGUGAUGAAGGCCUUAGGGUUGUAAAGCUCUUUUGGCGGGGACGAUAAUGACGGUACCCGCAGAAUAAGUCCCGGCUAACUUCGUGCCAGCCGCCGCAGUAACAC